UACGAAGGGGGCUAGCGUUGUUCGGAAUCACUGGGCGUAAAGGGCGCGUAGGCGGCCGAUCAAGUCGGGGGUGAAAGCCUGUGGCUCAACCACAGAAUUGCCUUCGAUACUGUUUGGCUUGAGACCGGAAGAGGUAAGUGGAACUGCGAGUGUAGAGGUGAAAUUCGUAGAUAUUCGCAAGAACACCAGUGGCGAAGGCGGCUUACUGGUCCGGUUCUGACGCUGAGGCGGCGAAA
rnacentral:rRNA from 1 species